AAGUCGUAACAAGGUUUCCGUAGGUGAACCUGCGGAAGGAUCAUUAACACGUAUCCAAACGUUAAACAACCCCGUGAACAUACAACCUGCUCUGGUCGCCCGCUCGCAUGGACAAGCCCAGUAAAUCAAGCCCCGGAAAGUUUUUGAUUUGGGACCUCUGUGCGCGUGAGAAAAACUGACAGCGAUUCAUAGAAGCGGUAGGUCAAGUGACACGGCGUCCCCAAGUGACCAGUGAAUGAAAGUGUCGCUGGAGCGUCAAGGACGACUCUUCAAGAUUGCUAGAGGUCGACCACCGACCGGCUUCCGUGUAUACCGAGCUAACACCGCUCCCUUGCCUGUAAGCAUCCAUACGGAUGGGCAGGCCCCCCGAACAACUGUUAACAAUGGAUAUCUUGGUUCUC
rnacentral:misc_RNA from 1 species